GGGUGAGUAACGCGUAGGAAUCUACCUGGUAGUGGGGGAUAACUUGGGGAAACUCAAGCUAAUACCGCAUACGCCCUAAGGGGGAAAGCGGGGGAUCUUCGGACCUCGCGCUAUUGGAUGAGCCUGCGUAGGAUUAGCUUGUUGGUGAGGUAAAGGCUCACCAAGGCGACGAUCCUUAGCUGGUCUGAGAGGGCGGACGGACACACUGGAACUGAGACACGGUCCAGACUCC
rnacentral:rRNA from 1 species